rnacentral:rRNA from 1 species
CGGUAAUUCCAGCUCCAAUAGCGUAUACUAAAGUUGUUGCAGUUAAAAAGCUCGUAGUUGGAUUUCUGCGGGGACGGAGCGGCCGGUCGCAACUUGCGACUCGAGCUAGCGCUUUCCCCGCAUCCUGCCGCGAACCGUGCUACCAUUAGUUUGGUGGCGCUGGGGAUCGGCUCGAUUACUUUGAGAAAAAUAGAGUGUUCAAAGCAGGCCACACGCCUUGAAUAAGUUAGCAUGGAAUAAUGACUAAGGACUUUGGUUCUUUUCGUUGGUGUUCGGGACUGAAGUAAUGAUUGAUAGGGACAGUUGGGGCGGUCCGUAUUCCAAAGCGAGAGGUGAAAUUCUUAGACCUUCGGAAGACGAACAGCUGCGAAAGCGUUCCGCAAGGAUGUUCCCUUUGAUCAAGAACGAAAGUUGGGGGAUCGAAGACGAUCAGAUACCGUCGUAGUCUCAACUAUAAACUAUACCAGCUAGGGAUCGGCCAACGUUUAAUUAUUCGACUUGGUCGGCACCUUAUGAGAAAUCAAAGCAUCUGGGUUCCGGGGGGAGUAUGGUCGCAAGGCUGAAACUUAAAGGAAUUGACGGAAGGGCACCACCAGCCGUGGAGCCUGUGGCUUAAUUUGACUCAACACGGGAAAACUUACCAGGUCCGGACAUAGUAAGGAUUGACAGAUUGAUAGCUCUUUCUUGAUUCUGUGGGUGGUGGUGCAUGGCCGUUUUUAGUCGGUGGAUGUGAUCUGUCUGCUUAAUUGCGUUAACGGACGAGACCCCAGCCUGCUAAAUAGCGCGGCCGAGCUUUGCUCGGUGCGAGCUUCUUAGAGGGACCAUGAUGCGCGAUAGCACAAGGAAGUUUGGGGCAACAACAGGUCUGUGAUGCCCUUAGAUGUUCUGGGCCGCACACGGGCUACACUGGCGCCUGCAACGAGCAUAUCAGCUGGCCCGAGAGGGUCUUGGCUAAUCUUUGGAACCGGCGCCGUGCUUGGGAUUGACCAUUGCAAUUGUUGGUCAUGCAACGAGGAAUGCCUUGUAAACGCGAGUCAUCAGCUCGCAUUGAAUACGUCCCUGCCCCUUGUACACACCGCCC